UGGUAGACGUAGCAGUACAAUUAGUCGUUCGGUAGUUAUCCAUUUCAGUUCAUCUAAAGCUGCUCUAACGUAGAUUUGGAGAAAAUUGACAAAAAGUAAUAUUUCAUUUGACUGUAUUUCGAGUUGACAUUGCAGGAAGGAUGCUGCGAUGAAUAUUCAAGACUGGCUGAAAAAACGAAAAAAAAUUGCUGCAAUCCGGAGAUUCUUCAGAACUUCAACUUCCAUUUUUUUUCCUAUUCCUCCACCCCAUCGGGGGCUGUGCUCCUGAUCGGGUGGAGGCGCUCCUUACGUCUUGCAUAGUAGGCGUGUUGGCCUACUGUGCGAUCCCGUGGAGUUUUUUAAUAUUCUAUUUUUAGUUACGUUGCAGAUAACCGCGAGUUUUAACUUUACUAUUACUAGUAAUUUUUUAUACUGAUAAAAUUGUAAUUUCAGUAAAUUAGCGUCGCACUUAUGUUUUGUAGAUAUACAAAUUUUUAUAUAAAACUGGUCUACGAUAUCCUGCCUUAACAGUUAACUUGCAUCAGUAAACCAUACAUUAAGUAGGUUUUUAUGGUUAUCAAAUAUUAGCUGAAUCCACUUUGGUUUUAGUUACUUCUCACCUUAAUAUUGUGAUUUCACAAGAUAAUUUUUGGAAAAUAUUAUUUUGGUCAGUUUUUCAUAUGUAGCUAAGUUUUCAGUGUAGGUCGGAUUAAUCUUUUUAGAAAAACUGUAGAGUGGUUACUUGUGGAUGAGUAUUUCUGUUUUUUCAAAGUUUCCAAUUCAUUUUUAGUUUUGGAUCAUGAGAUCAAUUACUCUUAAAAUCCAUGGUUAUAACUUUUUAGAUAUUUGGUAGAUGUUAGUAUUUUGAAGGAGGUUUGAUGUUUUAUGCAUUUUUUAAUUCUUAAAGAUUUUCCAUAAGAAAAUUUACGUAAUGAGCAGCAGUGUACGUUAACCUUUCCUUUUUUUUCCUACUUUGUAUUAAGGUUUGCUUUUAUUUCAUCCAAAGUCUUUCCUGCUGCUUUUCAUGACUUACAGGUGACCUUGCUGUGAGGGGUUUAAAAUGGCGGGCUGAAGGAUUUAGAGUACUUGUGUGAUUAGUUCGUGGAAUACUCCUUUUUCAAUCUGUUACAAAAGCGAGGCUUUCCUUAUUUUAGUUCUGAAGUGUAUGAAACAGGUUUUGAGAAUAAAUCAUUCUGUAACCGCAGAUUCAUGAUUAAGAAUGAUUCUAGUGUGUGUGCCCCCCCCGUAAAUACCAUUGUUUGUAACCACGUAAAAUUGACCCUUAUUGUCAGAAAAAGUGUACAUAAGCUGUUAAAUGUUUUUAUUUUUAAGAUACAAGGAUAUAAGAUUUUUAGAGAUUUGUCUCAGUAGUUCUAAUUUGUAUUAGUACUGUAUAUCAAAUUGUUAACAAAUAUAUAUGAAAUUGACUGA